AGAGUGCAACAGGUAAUGGUAAAGCACCAUGUCCACCUCUUAGGGACUGAGGAGUGCAAAGGGUUAGUUUAGGUUUGACAGGGUUCUAACUGUGGUUUAUCAACUGAUCACAAUAUCAUGGAUGAGGAUAAAAUAUGUAAUGUUUUAGAUGAAAGUUUGAGUUUUAGUGUGUCUGAUUUAUUUAGUGCCGAUGGAGACGAUUUUAUUCCUCCAACUAGUGAUGAUGAGCUUACAACCACUAGCACAAGGAAGAAGAAACGCAAGAUUUAUGAAAGAACCCUCUCAAAUGUUUUAAACAAUUAGAUUAAAAAAUGAGUGCAGGAUCAAGUAGGACUAAAAACCAAGGGCUAAAUGAUGAUUUUUCACAUACAUAAGCAGAAACUGAAAACAAUUUGAACAUUAUUGGAAAUCAAAGCACUGACAUUGAUAUAUUGUCAGAUAUUGAAAGGGCUCAUAAUGAUGGUACAAAGGGAUCCACUCAAGACCCAAACAAUAAAUGUGUACCAGCUGCAGAAUUGAAUAAUUCUAACGAACAUUUACCUGUACCAGUGACAAUUCAGGAAGAACUUGAAGAACAGCAAAAUAUCGUAGACAUAUUGACUGAAGCUCAGAAACAAACCACUCCAAAGAAAAAUGUGAGAAAAAAGAGUUGCAAAUCCUGGAAGUUGGGCAUGUUCUAAAAGAAAGAAAGCACACCAUGAGGUCAAGAAUAUGUAAGCCGGAGAGGGAAGGAGGCAAAAAAGAAUGACAUCAAGGCCGCAUUUCCCUACAUGCCUCUGCAAGACUGGGAUUACUACAAGGCAGUACUAAACCUGUAGUGUCAAAAAGAAGAGAUUUGCAACAUGAGCAUUCUGGUGUAAAUAGAAAAAAAAUUGAUUAAUAUUUGAAAACCUGACUUGUUACUAUGAGUUCCAGUCAUAAACAUUCCUCAAUUUCAUAUUUUGCGUUACUAAUUUUCUCCUUACUAUUACACAUAAUAGCGGAAGUACCUAUAUUACCUAUAAAUUUGUAAAUAAUCAUAC